CUACGGGCGGCAGCAGUGAGGAAUAUUGCACAAUGGAGGAAACUCUGAUGCAGCAACGCCGCGUGGAGGAUGACGCAUUUCGGUGUGUAAACUCCUUUUAUGAGUCAAGAAAAUGACGGUAGCUCAUGAAUAAGCACCGGCUAACUCCGUGCCAGCAGCCGCGGUAAUAGGGAGGGUGCAAGCGUUACUCGGAAUCACUGGGCGUAAAGGACGCGUAGGCGGGAUAUCAAGUCAGGUGUGAAAUCCUACAGCUUAACUGUAGAACUGCACUUGAAACUGGUAACCUAGAGUAUGGGAGGGGGAGAUGGAAUUAGUGGUGUAGGGGUAAAAUCCGUAGAUAUCACUAGGAAUACCUAAGGCGAAGGCGAUCUCCUGGAACAUAACUGACGCUAAGGCGUGAAAGCGUGGGGAGCAAACAGGAUUAGAUACCCGCGUAGUC
rnacentral:rRNA from 1 species